rnacentral:rRNA from 1 species
UACGGAGGGAGCUAGCGUUGUUCGGAAUUACUGGGCGUAAAGCGCGCGUAGGCGGCUUUGUAAGUUAGAGGUGAAAGCCCGGGGCUCAACCCCGGAACUGCCUUUAAGACUGCAUCGCUUGAAUCCGGGAGAGGUGAGUGGAAUUCCGAGUGUAGAGGUGAAAUUCGUAGAUAUCGGGAGGAACACCAGAGGCGAAGGCGGCGACCUGGAAGGUGACUGACACUGAGCAGCGAAAGCGUGGGGAGCAAACAGG